GUAAAAUUGGUGACCAAUGCUUCAAGUGCAAGCCUUCAUUCCGAAUUCCGAAACUAAAAUGCUUAAAGAACAUCUUGUUCCUCAUUCAAGUGCUCUAUGGAAUGAGGUACUGCAUGGUACUACGCCUCACUCUCAGCAAAGUGUUUUUUCAUUUUUCACAGCAGAAUGAGAAACAGUAAAUUCAUAGAAAUGACUUUGUUUCGUAGUAGUAUCAAAUGAGAGGUCCAUCUCUUGGCAGUUGGCACUUGUC
rnacentral:lncRNA from 1 species